rnacentral:rRNA from 1 species
UUAAGCGACUAAGCGUACACGGUGGAUGCCCUGGCAGUCAGAGGCGAUGAAGGACGUGCUAAUCUGCGAAAAGCGCCGGCGAGGUGAUAUGAACCUUUGACCCGGCGAUGUCCGAAUGGGGAAACCCAGUGCAAUUCGUUGCACUAUCGUUAACUGAAUACAUAGGUUAACGAGGCGAACCGGGGGAACUGAAACAUCUAAGUACCCCGAGGAAAAGAAAUCAACCGAGAUUCCCCCAGUAGCGGCGAGCGAACGGGGAGCAGCCCAGAGUCUGAAUCAGCUUGUGUGUUAGUGGAAGCGUCUGGAAAGUCGCACGGUACAGGGUGACAGUCCCGUACACGAAAGCACACAGGUUGUGAACUCGAAGAGUAGGGCGGGACACGUGGUAUCCUGUCUGAAUAUGGGGGGACCAUCCUCCAAGGCUAAAUACUCCUGACUGACCGAUAGUGAACCAGUACCGUGAGGGAAAGGCGAAAAGAACCCCGGCGAGGGGAGUGAAAAAGAACCUGAAACCGUGUACGUACAAGCAGUGGGAGCACCUUCGUGGUGUGACUGCGUACCUUUUGUAUAAUGGGUCAGCGACUUAUAUUCUGUAGCAAGGUUAACCGUAUAGGGGAGCCGAAGGGAAACCGAGUCUUAACUGGGCGUUAAGUUGCAGGGUAUAGACCCGAAACCCGGUGAUCUAGCCAUGGGCAGGUUGAAGGUUGGGUAACACUAACUGGAGGACCGAACCGACUAAUGUUGAAAAAUUAGCGGAUGACUUGUGGCUGGGGGUGAAAGGCCAAUCAAACCGGGAGAUAGCUGGUUCUCCCCGAAAGCUAUUUAGGUAGCGCCUCGUGAACUCAUCUUCGGGGUAGAGCACUGUUUCGGCUAGGGGGCCAUCCCGGCUUACCAACCCGAUGCAAACUACGAAUACCGAAGAAUGUUAUCACGGGAGACACACGGCGGGUGCUAACGUCCGUCGUGAAGAGGGAAACAACCCAGACCGCCAGCUAAGGUCCCAAAGUCAUGGUUAAGUGGGAAACGAUGUGGGAAGGCACAGACAGCCAGGAUGUUGGCUUAGAAGCAGCCAUCAUUUAAAGAAAGCGUAAUAGCUCACUGGUCGAGUCGGCCUGCGCGGAAGAUGUAACGGGGCUAAACCAUGCACCGAAGCUGCGGCAGCGACGCUUAUGCGUUGUUGGGUAGGGGAGCGUUCUGUAAGCCGUUGAAGGUGUGCUGUGAGGCAUGCUGGAGGUAUCAGAAGUGCGAAUGCUGACAUAAGUAACGAUAAAGCGGGUGAAAAGCCCGCUCGCCGGAAGACCAAGGGUUCCUGUCCAACGUUAAUCGGGGCAGGGUGAGUCGACCCCUAAGGCGAGGCCGAAAGGCGUAGUCGAUGGGAAACAGGUUAAUAUUCCUGUACUUGGUGUUACUGCGAAGGGGGGACGGAGAAGGCUAUGUUAGCCGGGCGACGGUUGUCCCGGUUUAAGCAUGUAGGCGGAGGUUCCAGGUAAAUCCGGUACCUUUUAACGCUGAGGUGUGAUGACGAGGCACUACGGUGCUGAAGUAACAAAUGCCCUGCUUCCAGGAAAAGCCUCUAAGCAUCAGGUAACAUCAAAUCGUACCCCAAACCGACACAGGUGGUCAGGUAGAGAAUACCAAGGCGCUUGAGAGAACUCGGGUGAAGGAACUAGGCAAAAUGGUGCCGUAACUUCGGGAGAAGGCACGCUGAUAUGUAGGUGAAGCCCCUGCGGGUGGAGCUGAAAUCAGUCGAAGAUACCAGCUGGCUGCAACUGUUUAUUAAAAACACAGCACUGUGCAAACACGAAAGUGGACGUAUACGGUGUGACGCCUGCCCGGUGCCGGAAGGUUAAUUGAUGGGGUUAGCGGUAACGCGAAGCUCUUGAUCGAAGCCCCGGUAAACGGCGGCCGUAACUAUAACGGUCCUAAGGUAGCGAAAUUCCUUGUCGGGUAAGUUCCGACCUGCACGAAUGGCGUAAUGAUGGCCAGGCUGUCUCCACCCGAGACUCAGUGAAAUUGAACUCGCUGUGAAGAUGCAGUGUACCCGCGGCAAGACGGAAAGACCCCGUGAACCUUUACUAUAGCUUGACACUGAACACUGGUCCUUGAUGUGUAGGAUAGGUGGGAGGCUUUGAAGCGUGGACGCCAGUCUGCGUGGAGCCGACCUUGAAAUACCACCCUUUAAUGGCUGGUGUUCUAACGUAGACCCGUAAUCCGGGUUGCGGACAGUGUCUGGUGGGUAGUUUGACUGGGGCGGUCUCCUCCCAAAGAGUAACGGAGGAGCACGAAGGUUAGCUAAUCCUGGUCGGACAUCAGGAGGUUAGUGCAAUGGCAUAAGCUAGCUUGACUGCGAGAGUGACGGCUCGAGCAGGUGCGAAAGCAGGUCAUAGUGAUCCGGUGGUUCUGAAUGGAAGGGCCAUCGCUCAACGGAUAAAAGGUACUCCGGGGAUAACAGGCUGAUACCGCCCAAGAGUUCAUAUCGACGGCGGUGUUUGGCACCUCGAUGUCGGCUCAUCACAUCCUGGGGCUGAAGUAGGUCCCAAGGGUAUGGCUGUUCGCCAUUUAAAGUGGUACGCGAGCUGGGUUUAGAACGUCGUGAGACAGUUCGGUCCCUAUCUGCCGUGGGCGCUGGAGAAUUGAGGGGGGCUGCUCCUAGUACGAGAGGACCGGAGUGGACGCAUCACUGGUGUUCGGGUUGUCAUGCCAAUGGCACUGCCCGGUAGCUAAAUGCGGAAAAGAUAAGUGCUGAAAGCAUCUAAGCACGAAACUUGCCCCGAGAUGAGUUCUCCCUGACCCUUUAAGGGUCCUGAAGGAACGUUGAAGACUACGACGUUGAUAGGUCGGGUGUGUAAGCGCAGCGAUGCGUUGAGCUAACCGAUACUAAUGAACCGUGAGGCUUAACCU